rnacentral:rRNA from 1 species
AUUGAACGCUGGCGGCAGGCCUAACACAUGCAAGUCGAGCGGAGCGGCGGACGGGUGAGUAAUGCCUAGGAAUCUGCCUGUUAGUGGGGGAUAACGUCCGGAAACGGGCGCUAAUACCGCAUACUAUCAGAUGAGCCUAGGUCGGAUGAGCUAGUUGGUGGGGUAAAGGCCUACCAAGGCGACGAUCCGUAACUGGUCUGAGAGGAUGAUCAGUCAAACUGGAACUGAGACACGGUCCAGACUCCUACGGGAGGCAGCAGUGGGGAAGAUUGGACAAUGGGCGAAAGCCUGAUCCAGCAAUGCCGCGUGUGUGAAGAAGGUCUUCGGAUUGUAAAGCACUGUAAGUUGGGAGGCGUUACCCGCAGAAGAAGCACCGGCUAACUCCGUGCCAGCAGCCGCGGUAAUAC